UAACAGCAAAGGAGACUUUCUUACAAGAGAGAAGUCAGAGAUCUUCAUCUGCAUCUGAAAUGGUCUGCAGUCUGCACGGUGCAAAACUCAAACUCUUCUGUCUGGAUGAUCAACAGUCGGUGUGUUUGGUGUGUCAGAUGUCAAGAAAACACACCAAGCAUAAAUUCUGCCCCAUUGAUGAGGUGGUAACAGACUGGAAGAAGGAGCUCAAAACUUCACUGAAGCCCCUACAGGAGAAACUGAAGAUCUUUAAUGUCUGUAAACUGAAACGGAGUCAGACUGCAGAACAUAUAAAGAUUCAGGCCCAACACACAGAGCGGCAGAUUAAGGAGGAGUUUGAGAAGCUCCACCAGUUUCUAUGAGAUGAGGCAGUCAGGAUCGCUGCACUGAGAGAGGAAGAGGAGCAGAAGAGUCAGAUGAUGAAGGAGAAGAUUGAGAAGCUGAGCAGAGACAUAUCGUCCCUUUGAGACACAAUCAGAGUUAUAGAAGAGGAGAUGAGAGCUGAAGACGUCUCAUUCUUACAAAACUACAAGGCCACAGUGAAAAGAGCUCAGUGUACACUGCAGCAUCCUGAGGAGCUUUCAGGAGUGCUGAUCCAUGUGGCAAAACAUCUAGCCAACCUGAAGUUCAGAGUCUGGGAGAAGAUGCAGGACAUUGUCCAAUACAGGUCCCGGGGAACCUGGAGCCUAUCCCAGGAAGCAUCGGGCACAAGGCGGGGUACACCCUGGACAGGGUGCCAGUCCAUCGUAGGGCACACAAUCACACACACUCACACACCCAUUCAUACACUACGUACACUUUAGACAUGCUAAUCAGCCUACUAUGCAUGUCUUUGGACUGGGGGAGGAAACCGGAGUACCCGGAGGAAACCCCGGCAGCAUGGAGAGAACAUGCAAACCCUGCACACACAGGGCCCCGGCGGGACUCGAACGCCGGACCCUGGAGGUGUGAGGCGAACGUGCCCACUUUGAAAACCACUGACCUAGGUCACUGUGCCCCCUCACCUCUGGUGUAGCAGCUGCAUUGCCAUGGCCAAAAGAAAUGUGGGCUCUGCUCUUGCAAUGUAAGCUGGUUGGGAAGGCACAGGAAGUAUGCUCUUCGUUACAUAUCGAGAAAGUGUGCGAGGGAGAAGCAAACCCUUUUUGAAAAGUGGGAAUGCUGAGAAGGUUACUGUCCAUGGUGCUGAAGGACAGACGAGGUGGAAUUUAUGCGGGCCGUAGAGGGUCUCAGACACGUCUUGGGGAUGGUAGUCUGCUUUCACUGCCUUGAUGCAGGUCACC